AGAGUGAACGCUGGCGGUAGGCCUAACACAUGCAAGUCGAACGGCAGCACAGUAGGAGCUUGCUCUUACGGGUGGCGAGUGGCGGACGGGUGAGGAAUACAUCGGAAUCUACCUUUUGGGUGGGGGAUAACGGUAGGGAAACUUACGCUAAUACCGCAUACGCCCGUUCGGGGGAAAGCCGGGGACCAGCAAUCGGCCUGGUGCUGAUAGAUGAAGCCGAUGUCGGAUUAGCUUAGUUGGUGAGGUAAUGGCUACGACCGAAGGCGACGAUCCGGUAGCUGGCCUGGAGGAGGAUGAUACGACGCCACUACGUAGGAAC
rnacentral:rRNA from 1 species